UUGUCAGAGGUGAAAUUCUUGGAUUUAUGAAAGAUUAACUUCUGCGAAAGCAUCUGCCAAGGAUGUUUUCAUUAAUCAAGAACGAAAGUUAGGGGAUCGAAGACGAUCAGAUACCGUCGUAGUCUUAACCAUAAACGAUGCCGACCAGCGAUUAGGAGACGUUGAAUACAAAACACCAC
rnacentral:rRNA from 1 species